GGCCCGAGUUGAAGUAAAGUAGGUUAGUAGGAUUGUCCAACCCUACUAAAGCACUUUACUUCAAGUUUGUGCCC
rnacentral:pre_miRNA from 1 species